AUAAAAAGGAAGCCCUUCGGGGUGGAAUUUUUACAUCUUAGCGGCGGACGGGUGCGUAACACGUGGGUAACCUGCCCCUAUCACUGGGAUAACACACUGAAAAGUGUGCUAAUACCAGAUAAUAUAAGCUUUUGGCAUCAUUAGCUUAUCAAAGAAUUUCGGAUAGGGAUGGGCCCGCGUCUGAUUAGCUAGUUGGUGAGGUAACGGCUCACCAAGGCAACGAUCAGUAGCCGACCUGAGAGGGUGAUCGGCCACACUGGAACUGAGACACGGUCCAGACUCCUACGGGAGGCAGCAGUGGGGAAUAUUGCACAAUGGGCGAAAGCCUG
rnacentral:rRNA from 1 species